AUUAAGCUUAAUUUGAGAAACCAGUUAAGCUAAUAAAAUUGAGGAAAGAUGGCUUCACGUUUAUUUUAAGAAAAUUCACUCAAUUAUGUGGAUUUGAUUGAGAUGUUUGCAUUUGAAUCUCAACAACGGCAGUGAUCAGACGACAUUUUGAAGGAGCAGAUCAACAGCGAGCAUGUUAAGAGUUUAAUGAAGAAAACGUUUGCAGAGUUUUCCCACUAAAGAGGAGCAGUUUAUUGAGGCAGAUUUUGAUAAAGAGAAUGGGUGCCAUACAUCAGACCUCACAUUAAAUCAGGGAUAAAUCGAGAGAUGUCAUCCUCUGUUGCUGGUUUAUCUGUAUGAAUAAGAGGAAGAGCUCAUCCAGGAGUGCAAUUGUGGGAAUGCACAGAGAAUUGCUGUCUGUCAGAGGGAUGACCAACCAUGAGGACUUCUGCAUUGUCUUGGAGGAUAAGUGAGUCAUGGCUAGCCUGGAAAAUCUAGAAUCUAGAACUGGAUUUAUACAAAUAUUCCACAAAUUAAAAUCACUUACAAAGAAACGAAUAUUAAGUUUGCAAUACACAAAUUCUGUCAAAUAUUGUCUAAAAUGCGACUAUUCCUACAAAGGAAAGUUGACAGGUCAGUUUUUUCCAUGACAUGGAUAAAGGAAUUUUUAUCAGAGAUUAACAUUGCUGUAAAUUUUACAUAGAUUUGUUUAACA